UACGGAGGAUGCAAGCGUUAUCCGGAAUGAUUGGGCGUAAAGCGUCCGCAGGUGGCUGUGUAAGUCUGCUGUCAAAGAGCGAAGCUCAACUUCGGAAAGGCAGUGGAAACUGAACAGCUAGAGUAUGGUAGGGGCAGAGGGAAUUCCUGGUGUAGCGGUGAGAUGCGUAGAGAUCAGGAAGAACAUCGGUGGCGAAGGCGCUCUGCUGGACCAUAACUGACACUCAGGGACGAAAGCUAGGGGGAGCGAACAGG
rnacentral:rRNA from 1 species